rnacentral:rRNA from 1 species
GCCCCAGAAAUUAUCUGAGGUGUAACCUGCCCAAUGGUUUUUAAUUUUAAUUAAUAAAAUUUAUGAAAAAAAACUUAAAGGACGCGGUAACCUUGACCGUGAUAAUGUAGCAUAAUCAUUCGCCAUUUAAUUGAUGGAUAGUAUGAAUGGUUGAACGAAUAUUUCACUGUCUUAAGAAGAAAUAACAAAAAACUAGGAUAAUAGUAAAGACACUAUUUUAGAUUGUAAGACGAAAAGACCCUAUAGAGCUUAACUAUAAUCUCUCUACAUAAAAAGAAUAACAUUCCUAAAUAAAGAGAUUGGUAGUUUAGUUGGGGCGACUAUUUUUUAAAAAAAACAAAAAUAAGCAAAGUUAAUAAUAAAUUUAUUGUAUAAAAAAUCGAUUUAACAAUUAUGAAAAUAGGCUAUAAUGACCCGUUAUCAUUAAAUAAAAAAAAUAUAACGAUAAAUAAAUAAAAGCUACCUUAGGGAUAACAGGAUAAUUUUAUUUUAGAGACCUAAUCGAAAAUAAAGUUUGUCACCUCUAUGUUGAAUUAAGAUAUCCCGAUAAUGCAGAAGUUAUCAAAGGUGGGUCUGUUCGACCCUUAAAAUCUU